rnacentral:rRNA from 1 species
AUUGAACGCUGGCGGCAGGCUUAAUACAUGCAAGUCGAGCGGGGUGAUGGUGCUUGCACUAUCACUUAGCGGCGGACGGGUGAGUAAUGCUUAGGAAUCUGCCUAUUAGUGGGGGACAACAUCUCGAAAGGGAUGCUAAUACCGCAUACGUCCUACGGGAGAAAGCAGGGGAUCACUUGUGACCUUGCGCUAAUAGAUGAGCCUAAGUCGGAUUAGCUAGUUGGUGGGGUAAAGGCCUACCAAGGCGACGAUCUGUAGCGGGUCUGAGAGGAUGAUCCGCCACACUGGGACUGAGACACGGCCCAGACUCCUACGGGAGGCAGCAGUGGGGAAUAUUGGACAAUGGGGGGAACCCUGAUCCAGCCAUGCCGCGUGUGUGAAGGAGGCCUUAUGGUUGUAAAGCACUUUAAGCGAGGAGGAGGCUACUCUAGUUAAUACCUAGGGAUAGUGGACGUUACUCGCAGAAUAAGCACCGGCUAACUCUGUGCCAGCAGCCGCGGUAA